GCCAAUGCAGCACAGUGGUUUGAGUGCAGGACUGCAACUCUGGAGGCCAGGGUUCGAUUCCCACUCAGCCA